rnacentral:tRNA from 1 species
GAAAUAUAAAAAAUUAAGCUUCUAACUUAAAUAAUAGUGAUUAAUAUUCAUUAAUAUUUCU